AUACGGAGGAUGCGAGCGUUGUCCGGAUUUAUUGGGUUUAAAGGGUGCGUAGGCUGUGCGUUAAGUCAGGGGUGAAAUGCCGUCGCUCAACGACGGAGCUGCCCUUGAUACUGGCGUGCUGGAGUACGGAUGCCGUUGGAGGAAUGAGUGGUGUAGCGGUUAAAUGCUUAGAUAUCACUCAGAACACCGAUUGCGAAGGCAUCUGACGAAUCCGUCACUGACGCUGAGGCACGAAAGCGUGGGGAUAGAACAGGAUUAGAUACCCUGGUAUUCCACGCCGUAAACGAUGAUGACUAACCGUCGGCGAUAGACAGCCGGUGGCCAAGCGAAAGCGAUAAGUCAUCCACCUGGGGAGUACGUCGGCAACGAUGAAACUUAAAGGAAUUGACGGGG
rnacentral:rRNA from 1 species